rnacentral:misc_RNA from 1 species
GAUGAAGAACACAGCGAAAUGCGAUAAGUAAUGUGAAUUGCAGAAUUCAGUGAAUCAUCGAAUCUUUGAACGCACAUUGCGCCCGCCAGUAUUCUGGCGGGCAUGCCUGUUCGAGCGUCAUUUCAACCAUCAAGCCCCAGGCUUGUGUUGGGGACCUGCGGCUGCCGCAGGCCCUGAAAACCAGUGGCGGGCUCGCUAGUCACACCGAGCGUAGUAGCAUACACAUCGCUCAGGGCGUGCUGCGGGUUCCGGCCGUUAAACCCCUUUUUUACCCAAGGUUGACCUCGGAUCAGGUAGGAAGACCCGCUGAACUUAAGCAUAUCAAUAAGCGGAGGA